rnacentral:rRNA from 1 species
UACGUAGGGGGCAAGCGUUAUCCGGAAUUACUGGGUGUAAAGGGUGAGUAGGCGGCAUGGUAAGCCAGAUGUGAAAGCCUUGGGCUUAACCCGAGGAUUGCAUUUGGAACUAUCAAGCUAGAGUACAGGAGAGGAAAGCGGAAUUCCUAGUGUAGCGGUGAAAUGCGUAGAUAUUAGGAAGAACACCAGUGGCGAAGGCGGCUUUCUGGACUGAAACUGUCGCUGAGGCACGAAAGCGUGGGGAGCGAACAGG